ACACAUGCAAGUCGAACGAAGCACUUAUCUUUGAUUCUUCGGAUGAAGAGGUUUGUGACUGAGUGGCGGACGGGUGAGUAACGCGUGGGUAACCUGCCUCAUACAGGGGGAUAACAGUUAGAAAUGACUGCUAAUACCGCAUAAGACCACAGAGCCGCAUGGCUCAGUGGGAAAAACUCCGGUGGUAUGAGAUGGACCCGCGUCUGAUUAGGUAGUUGGUGGGGUAACGGCCUACCAAGCCAACGAUCAGUAGCCGACCUGAGAGGGUGACCGGCCACAUUGGGACUGAGACACGGCCCAAACUCCUACGGGAGGCAGCAGUGGGGAAUAUUGCACAAUGGGGGAAACCCUGAUGCAGCGACGCCGCGUGAGCGAAGAAGUAUUUCGGUAUGUAAAGCUCUAUCAGCAGGGAAGAAAAUGACGGUACCUGACUAAGAAGCACCGGCUAAAUACGUGCCAGCAGCCGCGGUAAUACGUAUGGUGCAAGCGUUAUCCGGAUUUACUGGGUGUAAAGGGAGCGUAGACGGCUGUGUAAGUCUGAAGUGAAAGCCCGGGGCUCAACCCCGGGACUGCUUUGGAAACUAUGCAGCUAGAGUGUCGGAGAGGUAAGUGGAAUUCCCAGUGUAGCGGUGAAAUGCGUAGAUAUUGGGAGGAACACCAGUGGCGAAGGCGGCUUACUGGACGAUGACUGACGUUGAGGCUCGAAAGCGUGGGGAGCAAACAGGAUUAGAUACCCUGGUAGUCCACGCUGUAAACGAUGACUACUAGGUGUCGGGGAGCAAAGCUCUUCGGUGCCGCAGCAAACGCAAUAAGUAGUCCACCUGGGGAGUACGUUCGCAAGAAUGAAACUCAA
rnacentral:rRNA from 1 species